GAAAGCAAAAAGUCAGAUGAACGGAAGAAGAGGGAAUGAUGAAUGGUUCGGUGAAAAACAGAGGAAGGGAAGAAGAAAGAAAGGUCCAGGCGAAGAAGAGGAAGAGGGAGAAGUAGAGAGCGAAGUGAGAAACGCAAAAAACCCUAGCGCGGGUUGAGAAGAAGAAAAACAGAGAAGAUGAAUGCAUGGUAGUGAAAAGGGUGAAUGCAAUCGGUGAAAAGAACCUAAAUGGAUCAAGGAAGAAGAAAAGUCAUACCUUUAGA
rnacentral:lncRNA from 1 species